AGGCCAUGGUGUGGGCAUUUUCUCAUUAAUUUCUUCAUUCUCUCCCAAGCCUCGUGAAUUUGUUCACUCGGCGUUUGGGUGAAUCUAGUGAUGGCUCUUCUCAUGGU
rnacentral:snoRNA from 1 species